GAUGAACGCUAGCGACAGGCUUAACACAUGCAAGUCGAGGGGCAGCGGGGUAGUGCUUGCACUACUGCCGGCGACCGGCGCACGGGUGAGUAACACGUAUGGAACCUGCCCGCAGCAGGGGGAUAAGCGGAAGAAAUUCCGUCUAAUACCGCGUAACAACGUUGGGAGGCAUCUCCCGAUGUUUAAAGAUUUAUCGGCUGCGGAUGGCCAUGCGGCGCAUUAGCUAGUCGGCGGGGUAACGGCCCACCGAGGCGACGAUGCGUAGGGGUUCUGAGAGGAAGGUCCCCCACACUGGUACUGAGACACGGACCAGACUCCUACGGGAGGCAGCAGUGAGGAAUAUUGGUCAAUGGCCGAGAGGCUGAACCAGCCAAGUCGCGUGAGGGAAGACGGCCCUACGGGUUGUAAACCUCUUUUGUCGGGGAGCAAAGCAGACCACGUGUGGUCUAUUGAGAGUACCCGAAGAAAAAGCAUCGGCUAACUCCGUGCCAGCAGCCGCGGUAAUACGGAGGAUGCGAGCGUUAUCCGGAUUUAUUGGGUUUAAAGGGUGCGCAGGCGGAGGUGCAAGUCAGCGGUCAAAUUGCGGGGCUCAACCCCGUACUGCCGUUGAAACUGCAUCCCUUGAGUGCGCGAGAAGUAUGCGGAAUGCGUGGUGUAGCGGUGAAAUGCAUAGAUAUCACGCAGAACUCCGAUUGCGAAGGCAGCAUACCGGCGCGCAACUGACGCUCAUGCACGAAAGCGUGGGUAUCGAACAGGAUUAGAUACCCUGGUAGUCCACGCAGUAAACGAUGAACACUAACUGUUCGGCCAGAAUGAUGGCUGAGUGGUACAGCGAAAGCGUUAAGUGUUCCACCUGGGGAGUACGCCGGCAACGGUGAAACUCAAAGGAAUUGACGGGGGCCCGCACAAGCGGAGGAACAUGUGGUUUAAUUCGAUGAUACGCGAGGAACCUUACCCGGGCUCAAACGACACAGGAAUACUUUUGAAAGGAGGUAGCCCUACGGGGUCUGUGUCGAGGUGCUGCAUGGUUGUCGUCAGCUCGUGCCGUGAGGUGUCGGCUUAAGUGCCAUAACGAGCGCAACCCCUAUCGCCAGUUACCAUCAAGUCAAGUUGGGGACUCUGGCGAGACUGCCGGCGCAAGCUGAGAGGAAGGCGGGGAUGACGUCAAAUCAGCACGGCCCUUACGUCCGGGGCGACACACGUGUUACAAUGGCAGGUACAGAGAGAAGCCAGGUGGCGACACCGAGCGGAACUCGAAAGCCUGUCUCAGUUCGGAUCGGAGUCUGCAACCCGACUCCGUGAAGCUGGAUUCGCUAGUAAUCGCGCAUCAGCCAUGGCGCGGUGAAUACGUUCCCGGGCCUUGUACACACCGCCCGUCAAGCCAUGGAAGCCGGGAGUGCCUGAAGUAUGCAACCGCAAGGAGCGUCCUAAGGUAAAACCGGUGACUGGGGCUAAGUCGUAACAAGGUAGCCGUACCGGAAGGUGCGGCUGGAACACCUCCUUUCUGGAGCGGAGCCGAAGGCUUUGCCUCCUUCCCCGAGUGACCCCGGGGGCUUGAUUGCCCGCCCGGUCUUAAAUAUCGGCGACAGACGAACAUACAGGAAUCUUGACUACUGUUGUUGCAACCUCAUACCGAUCCCCGCCCAGGGAGGCGGAUUCGUUCACGAGUCCUACACCGAGAGGGAUCCGAGAGUCCCUUAGCUCAGUUGGUUAGAGCGCUACACUGAUAAUGUAGAGGUCGGCAGUUCAACUCUGCCAGGGACUACCAUUAAGAGAGGACAUUGACAUACUGGAAAGCGAGCGUGAUUUUUCAAAAAAAAGAAUCACGUGAAGCAAAUCAAACACAACGAGUAACAAUCAUAAAAAAACGAAUCACUGAGGCUCGAGGCCGUCGAAGCGCAAGCAAAGGCGGACGAAAAGUCAGGUAUGUGAACCGAUUGUAACCAAGUAAAAAGGUCAUAAAGAAAGGAGAGAAGGGCACAUGAAGGAUGCCUUGGCUCUCGGAGGCGAUGAAGGACGUGAUAAGCUGCGAAAAGCUGCGGGUAGGAGCAAAUAUCCUGUGAUCCGCAGAUCUCCGAAUGGGGCAACCCGACACGGGCGACCGUGCCACCCUCCUUGACGGAGGGAGCUAACCCGGGGAACUGAAACAUCUCAGUACCCGGAGGAAAAGAAAGUAAACCAACGAUUGCGCAAGUAGUGGCGAGCGAACGCGCAAGAGCCCAAACCGGCGGUGUUUCGGCACCGACCGGGGUUGUAGGACCGUCAACAAAUGGAUAAGAUAAAGUUAGCCGAAUCCUCUGGAAAGAGGAGCCGCAGCGGGUGACAGCCCCGUAGGCGAAAACGGAUUCUUGACAGAGACGGCACCUGAGUAAGCCGGGACACGAGAAAUCCUGGCCGAAUCCGCGGGGACCAUCCCGUAAGGCUAAAUACUACCGAGAGACCGAUAGCGAACC
rnacentral:rRNA from 1 species